rnacentral:rRNA from 1 species
AUUGAACGCUGGCGGCAUGCCUUACACAUGCAAGUCGAACGGUAACAGGUUAAGCUGACGAGUGGCGAACGGGUGAGUAAUAUAUCGGAACGUGCCCAGUCGUGGGGGAUAACGUAGCGAAAGCUACGCUAAUACCGCAUACGAUCUACGGAUGAAGGCGGGGGAUCGCAAGACCUCGCGCGAUUGGAGCGGCCGAUAUCAGAUUAGGUUGUUGGUGAGGUAAAAGCUCACCAAGCCUGCGAUCUGUAGCUGGUCUGAGAGGACGACCAGCCACACUGGAACUGAGACACGGUCCAGACGCCUACGGGAGGCAGCAGUGGGGAAUUUUGAACAAUGGACGCAAGUCUGAUCCAGCAAUGCCGCGUGCAGGACGAAGGCCUUCGGGUUGUAAACUGCUUUUGUACGGAACGAAACGGUGAGCUCUAAUACAGUUUGCUAAUGACGGUACCGUAAGAAUAAGCACCGGCUAACUACGUGCCAGCCGCCGCGGUAA